CAAAGAAAAAGUGUGAUUUUUCAAGGAAUCAAGUGUUUAAAGGUGGUGAGCUAUCUGAUACGGGUAAAAGACUACACCCGAGGACCGAGAAUAGGAGUAUAUCUACUCCUAGUACAUGGGCACUGCAGUGACGGGGGUUCCGUGGGCCAGCC
rnacentral:sRNA from 1 species